AUGGUCAAGAAGCUCGCCCUCGCCUCCCUCUUCUUCACCAGCGGCAGUGUGGACGCCACCGCCGAGAGCAUGUCGUCUCCUCCGUCCAUAUCAGCUGCGUCCUCUCGCAGCAUGGCCGCCUCGUGGCAAUGGCCCUCCUGCGCGCAGGCCAGGACCGCGUCCUUCGACGGCCGCAGCAGUGUGAAGGGGGAGGCGUCCUUGUCGUCGGCGCGCUGGGACUGCUGCAGGACCCGCGUGAUCAUGAACCCAGCCUACUGCGACGACACAGCCGAUAACUCCUUCCUCUCCGCCUCCGGCUCCUCUUCUGCCUCCACUGCGGCGCCGGAGCCGGAGCCGGAGCCCUCGAUGGACGAGGCGGUCAUCCGCGAGAUCCGAGCGUCGAGCCGGCUCUUCUUCGAGCCCGAGGCGACGAAAUCCAUCGUGACGGCGAGCAAGCCGGAGGCGGAUCAGGCAGCGUUCGGCGGGGCGACGGCGCUGGCCAUCGACUCUGCGGACCCGUACGGCGACUUCCGGCGGUCCAUGGAGGAGAUGGUGCUGAGCCGCGGCGGCGGCAGGGGCGAGGACGACUGGGGGUGGCUGGAGGAGAUGCUGGGGUGGUACCUCCGGGCCAACGGCAAGAAGACCCACGGCCUCAUCGUCGGCGCCUUCGUGGACCUGCUCGUCGGCCUCUCCGCCGUCAACAACAAGCAGAGCGGCCAGUGCUAG
rnacentral:rRNA from 1 species